rnacentral:tRNA from 1 species
GGGCCGGUAGCUCAGGCGGCUAGAGCACUCGGCUGAUAACCGAGAGGUCAGUGGUUCAAGUCCACUUCGGCCCACCA